GCAGCCGCCCGGGAAAACGUAGGUGGCAAGCGUUGUCCGGAAUUAUUGGGCGUAAAGCGACUGUAGGUGGCUUUUCAAGUCCGCCAUCAAAUCCCAGGGCUCAACCCUGGACAGGUGGUGGAAACUACCAAGCUGGAGUACGGUAGGGGCAGAGGGAAUUUCCAGUGGAGCGGUGAAAUUCGUUGAGAUCGGAAAGAACACCAACAGCGAAAGCACUCUGCUGGGCCGACACUGACACUGAGAGACGAGAGCUAGGGGAGCAAAUGGGAUUAGAUACCCCGGUAGUCCCUGUCUCUUAUACC
rnacentral:rRNA from 1 species